ensembl:lncRNA
GUCACUGGGAAAAACCCUGGCCUGAUUCCCAAGGGACUGACUGCCUCUCCACAGUUUUGGCUUAGCAAAGGCAUUUGAGUGGGCUAUUCUUGGUCAGAUAAAGAGAGGCAGUGCUGGCAGCUCAUGCACUGUGCAGACUCGAAAUCUCUGCAGUGUGCUCCCUGGCUGGGUCCAAAUGCACUGAUACUCCAGGCACAGUGAAGGACAUAUUUAUUUGAUCAAGCUUUUGGAAAAAGCUAGAAGAAGACACCUAGGGUAUCUCAGCCUCCUGAAUAUACCCCUGCAAUCACGGUGUUCAUCUGCUUGGUGUAGGAAUCCAUCCUCUGAGAGCUCCCCUGGGGCCAUCAUCUAACAAGAGGCCCAGUGUGGAUGGGAUGCCAGGUGCCAUUUCCUUGCAGCAAUGCCAGUUCCAGCCCCUCUGCCUGCCUGGGGCGCCAAGGGCACUGAAACAACUGCUUCUCAGUCACCUGUGGACUGAGCUCCUCUAUGGAUUUCACUCCAGGGAGCCAUGGAAGAGCUGGCCUGUGUUCCAUGGGCUCCUGGAGCAAACUGCAGGAAGACAUAACAAGGACUAACAGAAUUCUGAAGUAGAUGACCUGCAGCCACAUUAAUUAUUGAUCAUGUUAGUGGCUGAUAAGUUGUGCUAAAUUGAUCUGUUGCAAGAUAAUGUGAAUUAAAAGCUGCUUAAAUAUUUAAUUUUGAGCUCUUUCUAUAUGGCAGGAAUUUGAAUGAAUGGCUACACAGGAGUCAUGACUGGAAUCAACUUUUCAGUAAAACAAGCUGUCAGAAUAAAAGGUAGUAUCUAAAUGUAAAUCAUGAUUUAUUAGAGGAGGAAUCUCUUGCAGGUAAACAUUUUAAUGAAGGACUGGAAAUCUUUCCUCACAAAAUUCUCUAAAGGUAGGAGAGUAAAUUAAGAUUUUUUUUUGUUAUUAGUUUAAUUCCUCCAUAUUUUACUUUAAUUAAAUGCUGCUUCAUCUGCUGGGAAAAAGAGAGACUAAAAGCCUGUAAGAAGUGAAGGAAGACUAUUGGCUGAAACUCCAUAUGUUUGUUGCAGCACUGCAAUGCUGUACAGCUGGAGCACAGCUUGAGUAAAAUGAAUCUGUAGAUGACUGGUGAGAGGAAGUAAGGGGGCUAAUUCUGACAUUGGAUACAUAUAUGUGUGUGUGUAUAUAUAUAUAUAUCAGGCAAAAGAAUUUGCUGAUGACUCUGCACAGGGGCUUGUAACAGGAGGGAGCCAGUGCCCUGAGCUAAAGUGCUUUUGCCAGUGAGGUAAGUCCCACUGAAGAAAAACGUUGGCAUCACUCCCUCUGAAGAAGAGCUGCUUAGAUCCCCUCAGCAUACUCAGAUCUACUGCAUUGCAUCACAAAUUAUUUUGAAAGACUUCAUGGUGUCAUUAAUAGAGUUUUGAAGGCUGACAUGCAUUCUUGGUUGGUUUAGAUGCUGUAGUUCCAAAUAAAUCCUUCCCUGGCUUCUCCCAGCCUUUCUACAAAGAAACACCCUUAAUGUAAAGCAGUCUUGGUCCUGAAGUAGAAAGGUGUUUUAUUUCACCAGUUUAAUGCAAACAGG